AAAUGUGAGUAAAUGAAGUGAUAAAGUGUCCCAUAAAUUAUGGAGUGAAAAGGAUGAAUUUACUCAAAACAGUAACUUUAUUAGUGGAGAUAUAUCAGGAGAUAACAGAUGUGAUAUCUCAAAUGCCAAUUAAGGCAUAAGGGUGCUAGAUACAGAAAUAGAUUACGAGUGCAUAAUAGUUAAAUGCAUGCAGCGGAGCAAUUUAUUA
rnacentral:lncRNA from 1 species